AUUGAACGCUGGCGGCAGGCCUAACACAUGCAAGUCGAGCGGAGCGGCGGACGGGUGAGUAAUGCCUAGGAAUCUGCCUGGUCGUGGGGGAUAACGUCCGGAAACGGGCGCUAAUACCGCAUACUAUCAGAUUAGCCUAGGUCGGAUUAGCUAGUGGGUGGGGUAAAUGCCUACCAAGGCGACGAUCCGUAACUGGUCCGAGAGGAGGAUCAGUCACACUGGAACUGAGACACGGUCCAGACGCCUACGGGAGGCAGCAGUGGGGAAGAGUGGACAAUGGGCGAAAGCCUUAUCCAGCCAUGCCGCGUGUGUGAAGAAGGUCGUCGGAUUGUAAAGCACUUUAAGUUGUGAGGCGGUACCAACAGAAUAAGCACCGGCUAACUUCGUGCCAGCAGCCGCGGUAAUUC
rnacentral:rRNA from 1 species